GAUGGACGCUGGCGGCGUGCCUAAUACAUGCAAGUCGAGCGAACAGACGAGGAGCUUGCUCCUCUGACGUUAGCGGCGGACGGGUGAGUAACACGUGGAUAACCUACCUAUAAGACUGGGAUAACUUCGGGAAACCGGAGCUAAUACCGGAUAAUAUAUUGAACCGCAUGGUUCAAUAGUGAAAGACGGUUUUGCUGUCACUUAUAGAUGGAUCCGCGCCGCAUUAGCUAGUUGGUAAGGUAACGGCUUACCAAGGCAACGAUGCGUAGCCGACCUGAGAGGGUGAUCGGCCACACUGGAACUGAGACACGGUCCAGACUCCUACGGGAGGCAGCAGUAGGGAAUCUUCCGCAAUGGGCGAAAGCCUGACGGAGCAACGCCGCGUGAGUGAUGAAGGUCUUCGGAUCGUAAAACUCUGUUAUUAGGGAAGAACAAAUGUGUAAGUAACCAUGCACGUCUUGACGGUACCUAAUCAGAAAGCCACGGCUAACUACGUG
rnacentral:rRNA from 1 species